rnacentral:rRNA from 1 species
UACGGAGGGUGCAAACGUUGCUCGGAAUCAUUGGGCGUAAAGCGCACGUGGGCGGUCCCGUAAGUCGGAUGUGAAAGCCCUCGGCUCAACCGAGGAAGUGCAUUCGAAACUGCUGGGCUUGAGUACGGAAGAGGGUCUCGGAAUUCCCGGUGUAGAGGUGAAAUUCGUAGAUAUCGGGAGGAACACCAGUGGCGAAGGCGGAGACCUGGGCCGAUACUGACGCUGAGGUGCGAAAGCGUGGGGAGCAAACAGG